AGAGUUUGAUCCUGGCUCAGAGCGAACGCUGGCGGCAGGCUUAACACAUGCAAGUCGAGCGGGCGUAGCAAUACGUCAGCGGCAGACGGGUGAGUAACGCGUGGGAACGUACCUUUUGGUUCGGAACAACACAGGGAAACUUGUGCUAAUACCGGAUAAGCCCUUACGGGGAAAGAUUUAUCGCCGAAAGAUCGGCCCGCGUCUGAUUAGCUAGUUGGUGAGGUAAUGGCUCACCAAGGCGACGAUCAGUAGCUGGUCUGAGAGGAUGAUCAGCCACAUUGGGACUGAGACACAGCCCAAACUCCUACGGGAGGCAGCAGUGGGGAAUAUUGGACAAUGGGCGCAAGCCUGAUCCAGCCAUGCCGCGUGAGUGAUGAAGGCCCUAGGGUUGUAAAGCUCUUUUGUGCGGGAAGAUAAUGACGGACCGCAAGAAU
rnacentral:rRNA from 1 species